rnacentral:rRNA from 1 species
UACGGAGGGGGCUAGCGUUGUUCGGAAUUACUGGGCGUAAAGCGCACGUAGGCGGCUUUGUAAGUUAGAGGUGAAAUCCCUCGGCUCAACUGAGGAACUGCCUUUGAAACUGUACGGCUUGAGGCCGGGAGGGGGUAGCGGAAUUCCCAGUGUAGCGGUGAAAUGCGUAGAUACUGGGAGGAACACCAGUGGCGAAGGCGGCUACCUGGACCGGUUCUGACGCUGAGGCGCGAAAGCGUGGGUAGCAAACAGG